rnacentral:rRNA from 1 species
UACCAGCACCCCGAGUGGUCGGGACGAUUAUUGGGCCUAAAGCAUCCGUAGCCGGUCCUACAAGUCUUCCGUUAAAUCCACCUGCUUAACAGAUGGGCUGCGGAAGAUACUAUAGGGCUAGGAGGCGGGAGAGGCAAGCGGUACUCAUGGGUAGGGGUAAAAUCCACUGAUCCAUUGAAGACCACCAGUGGCGAAGGCGGCUUGCCAGAACGCGCUCGC